UACGUAGGGGGCGAGCGUUGUCCGGAAUCAUUGGGCGUAAAGCGCGUGUAGGCGGCCAGGUAAGUCCGUUCUGAAAGCCCGGGGCUCAACCCCGGGAGGCGGAUGGAUACUGCUUGGCUCGAGUCCGGAAGAGGCGAGUGGAAUUCCCGGUGUAGCGGUGAAAUGCGCAGAUAUCGGGAGGAACACCAAUGGCGAAGGCAGCUCGCUGGGACGGUACUGACGCUGAGACGCGAAAGCGUGGGGAGCAAACAGG
rnacentral:rRNA from 1 species